UCUUAUGGUGGAAUCCUAUUGAAUUUGA
rnacentral:sRNA from 1 species